AAUAGAUACCCGGGUAGUCCACGCCGUAAACGAUGAGUGCUAAGUGUUGGGGGGUUUCCGCCCCUCAGUGCUGCAGCUAACGCAUUAAGCACUCCGCCUGGGGAGUACGGUCGCAAGACUGAAACUCAAAGGAAUUGACGGGGGCCCGCACAAGCGGUGGAGCAUGUGGUUUAAUUCGAAGCAACGCGAAGAACCUUACCAGGUCUUGACAUCCCGGUGACCACUAUGGAGACAUAGUUUCCCCUUCGGGGGCAACGGUGACAGGUGGUGCAUGGUCGUCGUCAGCUCGUGUCGUGAGAUGUUGGGUUAAGUCCCGCAACGAGCGCAACCCUUAUUCUUAGUUGCCAUCAUUCAGUUGGGCACUCUAAGGAGACUGCCGGUGAUAAACCGGAGGAAGGUGGGGAUGACGUCAAAUCAUCAUGCCCCUUAUGACCUGGGCUACACACGUGCUACAAUGGACGGUACAAACGGUUGCCAACCCGCGAGGGGGAGCUAAUCCGAUAAAACCGUUCUCAGUUCGGAUUGUAGGCUGCAACUCGCCUACA
rnacentral:rRNA from 1 species